rnacentral:lncRNA from 1 species
GAUAGGAUUUUUCUGUCUUCACUGCCACUGUUGUGAUUUUAGGUAUGUCUAUACUCAGUGGGAUGCCCAUUAGAUUCAUUACAGAUUUUUGACAGCAGGCAUAAGCACAGGUAGCUCCCCGCAUAUCGAGUUUGACAGGGAGUAUUUUGCAUACAUGUGGUUAGAAAUGAGACAUUUUAUUCUAUUAAAGUUCCUUAACAGUUUUUUUUUUUUUUUUUAAUUCAAUUUAUGCAUUUGGGAUGAAGAGCUUACUUUGUACAGAGAAACAAUGAUUGGCAGUAAUUUCCUGGGAUUCUAACUGAAAAUUUCUGUAGCAUUACAUAAAAUGGCUAAAAUACAUAUUUUUACCUUUUAAUGGUAUAAAAACAUCAUGCUGUCAUCAUUGUUUUAAUUCUUUUCAAAACUUAAGUUUUAUUAAAACUAAGUUUUUUCAAAGUUUUAUUUCAAAGCAAGUACCAUUUGGUAUAUAAAAUUCUUAUUUAAAACUUGUUCUUCGUGGAUUCAUUCUAAUAAAUUUAGGACUGAUAAACUGGUCAUGUUGCUGUACUUUAUAGGAUUAGUAAUUAACUUCAAGACUGUUAAGAGUUUUGUAUUUGCUUGUCUGUGCAGGGGGAUACUGUUGGCAAAAUACUUUAGUAGCAAUUAAUCAUAAUACUUCCUUCUAUAAAAGUGUGUCCCAGAAGAUGUGACGUGUCUGAGUGAUGACUCAGGGUGGAUAUUUAGUGCCAGUGCCAGGACUGGACAGCCCACAGCUUCUGUGCUUUAUUCUGAGACUGAUACCAGAGAUUUUCACCAGAGACAGAAUUGCACCGAUGACUGCAUUUUGGAGCAAGACUAAAACUUGAUCCUUUUUCACUAAGAGAAACACAGUGCAUAAUUUUAGUACAGAAUAAAUUUAACUGUGAAAGUUCUUAACAAGUAAUAGGGAAGGUUCAUUUAAAAUAUUGUGAUUUUUAGAUAGAGUUGAAAAACAGCUUAAUUGAGGUGGACAAAAUUUGGUGAAUAGCUGGAUCUAUUCAAUCGGAAGGAUAAGUGCUUCCCAACACACAGUCUUCUCCACAGAGUUGUGAUCUUGCUUUUUGGGUGGCUGUGAGAUGGUGCCUCUCUGGCUGCAGCUGAUGCCUCUUUGGCUGCAGUUCAUGCUUUAUAAAUUGCUGUGCUUACAGGUUUGUUUUGAGGCUGUUUGCACAAAGCUGUGAGGUCCUGAGAUGAGACGCGCUUGGUGCACAGUGUUUGUUACAGUAAAAACUGUGGCACAGUCCAGGAUAUCUAAACUCAUGAGCAGUUCCAUAGGACACACUCCUCUCUUGGAGAGAACCUUUUGUCUUGCUAAUAAACGAGCUACUCACAAUAUAGGAAAGUUUUUCUCUCUUCAAAAUUUUCAUGUAGCAAACAGUACUUGUAUGCUUUUCCAUGAACCUAACUCCUUCACACAAUACUCUCUGGAAAAAGCUAAUUACAUUAUGUGAGGUAAAGGACUGGUGUGCUUAAUAAGUAUUUUUUUUAUGUCAAAUCUGUUUUCUGCAAAAUGUCAUGUUUUAGUCUCAGUGGGUUGCCCUAAGAGCUGUUGCAGAGGUGUAUAUGCACCUGUUGGCUGGUGGUGGUUGCUGGAAAGCAGCUUAGUUCAGCAACAAGAUGAACACACUCAGUCCCACAACUGCAAGGGGCUGGGUCAGUGCUUGGCGGCUGGUUUUCGUCUGCAUGAAUGAUGGCUUCAUACAGCGGUGGGCGAAUAACCGCGAGCUGCCAAGUACUGCGUGCAUUUGCUCUGCCUCAGUAUUUCUGGUGCUCCCUGGGGCAAUCUGACCAGCUGCAGUUUGAACGUGAUAAACUACUUCUGUUUGCUGCAGGGAGUGACCUGCCAAAAACCCACACAGGCCCCGUGCCCGAAGGGUGAGGGAAGUGGGGACCUCCUGGCCUCCUUUCCCCUUGUAAAACAGGAAAACGUCCACCCCAUAGAAGAUAAAUUAUGUAGUGAUCACAGAAAAGCAUUUCUAGCCUUAUGCAAAGAUGACCAAGACUGCACAGAUAUGGAAUAUUUCUUAAGUAUAUCUGUUUGUGUUUUUUCCUGUUUUUACCCUAAAAGCAAACAAAAACAUGUUUGUGCCAAGACCUGUCACACUCCACCCCCAUUUCUCUUUCUUUUAAUUGUAUUUUUAUAUGCUUGGCAGAAUUAAUGAUGAAAAUCUUUCCAGCUGUGACUUUGCCAGAAUCCCUUUCUGAAGCUCCUACUAAUUUGGAUUAAAAGUGGAUGGAUGAAAGCCUCAAACAGCAAAUCCUGGCAGCAGAUCUGCUGAGGCCCCACAGCAUAGACUUCUCCAACUGUUCUUAUCUUCUGAGGCAAAAAAAAAAAAAAAAGAAAAAGAAAGAAAAAGAAAAAAGGAAAGAAGAAAAGGGCAAAACAAGCAAUGUAAUUUUGUAAUUAUGCUCUUGUUAGUGCCUUCCCCCCUUUGGGGGCCGCGGCCUACGCACACAAGGCUCUGUGGUGCUGCAGUGCUACCCUCCAUUGGGCCUGUGAAGGCCAGGUGGAGGCCCUGGGCACUCUCACCUUGCCGCUGCUUUCCACCAUAGCACACAACCUGCAUUUGGAGGAGGUCUGCCACACUGAGGGAUGUCUGUUUGAUGUGGUGAAGGAACAUUCGUGGAAGCAUCCCCUGUGCGAUGUCAAGGCACUGAGUACCCCAACGCUGGGUGCUCGCCUCUGUUGCCUCACUGGCAUGGAACUGGUGCCAUGUUUUUUGCCAUCAAGCUCACCUUCAACAAGUGGUUAAAUUAAUUUCUUUAAAUCAGACACAAUCUCUGACACAUGGCCCAUGCUCCUCCCCUCUUCCCACUCUCUAAGAGAGCUUUCUAGAAGCUUCAAGCUGACCAAGACCUUGCUCACCGUAUUUCUCCUUCCACAGCCAUGCUGAAGCUGAGGCAAGGCAGUGUCCUGACUUCGAGCCCUGUGACAAUGGCAGCCUGCUCUGGUGGGCUUUUAGGAGGCUGCCCACCUCACUUUUCUGUUAUUAUGAGCAGAAAUAGCUAUUCAGGAUAAUUUAUACUCUUAACUAGUUCUGAAUAAAGCUGUUACCUUCAGAUGGUGCCCCUGAAAACUUCUGCCACAGUUUCUCUGUUUAUAGUAUUAGUGCAUUAACAAGGCAUGAUUUUCAACAUCCUUUUUAAAGAUACUUUCUUUAAUCAUCUUCUAAUGACCAACAAUCAGCAGGUGUUCAAAUCCACUUUUGAAAUAUAAAUACAUAUUUUAACAAGCUGUUUACUUUUCCAUCAAACCCUUAGUCUGGUGCAUCAGAAACUGAGUGCCCACAACAUAAGCCACAAGGAGCAUCCAUUUUUACAUGAACAGUUCCCUCUGUAUUUAGUGGUAAUAACACUUUCCUGUUGAAGAAUUACGUAAAAGUUAAUUAUAGGAGUUCCUUGGUGACAGCAAGGUCUGUGUGGUCCUUACAGUGAUAACAGAUUGAAAGUUUUUAAUUAUCUGAUCAGUUAAGAAUUGUGUACAAUUUUGAUUGAAUAUAAUUAAAGUUUUUAAUUCAACCCUACAAGAACAAGAGAAGGGUGACUUUUGAAUCCUACCUCUGAAUUUUCAUCUCACUAAAUCAUUUGUAACUUAGGAAUGUAUACUUAAUUAUGAGAGUUACCCAUUUAAUUCACUGCCAGUCAACUGGACGGAGUGGUUUGUUGUUUUGCAUGGUACUUCAAUCUCUCUUGAUUUAUGGAAAUCAUGUUCUGGGGAAGAAAAUUCCAAAAUUUGGUUUGUUUAUGCCAUACAGUACUCUGAUUUUUUAGAAUUUGAAAUGACAAGAAGGCUUUUGGCAAUUGCUCCGUGUCAAAAAGAGCACCUAGGAAGUGUCUCAGAAGUGAAAGUGUGUUAAACACUGAAGGCUUAACUAGAUUUAGGGUCCGGAUUCUUGAAAGACACAUAGCAAAUCUUAUUAAGAGCUUCUCUGUGCCUUCAGGUAACUGCUAAUGAAGACUUCUGAAACUGUUAAAACGUGAUUUUGCAACUCAGUUCAGCAGGGCAAUCUGUUACAUAAAGCAUUAAUCUGUAGAUUUUAGAUAUGGACUGCUGUGGUUGUCUGGUCUGCCCUUGUACACAGUGCUUGCCACAGGAUUUCCCUGCUUUACGUCUAACAGCUCUGGCUGCGCUAAGGAGGCUGGUUUUGUUUGUUAUUCCAGCACUGGCACUUGCUGCCUCCAGUGAAAUACUUCAUUUCUGGGAGUGUGAACAGCACUUUAUGCUCCACAGCGGCUUGGUACAAGGUCAAGUAGUGGAGGAACAAGAACCAAUGCCUGUAGCAUUAGAAAAAUAGAAACAUACCACUGAUGAUUUCUUAUUCAUGGUUGUACUUCGUGCCAUCACUUUAAGCCUUUUUCUUUCUUUCUUUCUUUCUUAAAAAAACAAACAACAACAACAACAAAAAAAAAACACAAUGCAAAACAAAAACAACUUUCAUCUUGUUAUUCCAUUGUUCUGAUUUAUUAACAAAAAUAUUGCAACAUCUCACAUCAAGUGCUUUCCUCAGAAAUCUUUUAUCACCAGCAUGAAAUUCCGUAAAACUAAAUCCCCAAAGCUUGCUUUCCAGAUACUGAUUUUGACCAGUAUUAAUUGUUUUUAUUUAUUUUUUUAAUUAGCCAAGUCUCAUACCGACAUUGGUAACACCAAGUUGGCAAGAGAAUGCUUUGUACGUACUUUACCAUUUAUUCCAGACAUUUUGGAUUUCUUUAUUGUAUUGUCACUGCUUAGACUGAGCUUUGUCUCAUCUGGCACUUGACACGGUCUAGAUACAGAUGCCAUCAUCUGCACCUAAAUCAGUUUUGCUAGCCUCCUUCUAAUCAAUGGAGAGAAAUAAAUCCAGGGCACUUGUCAGACUGCUUCUGCAGCUCUUGGAUGUGCAUUACACGUUUAAGUAUGUCUCUAAUUGAUGGUGUAAAUUCAGAAUGCAUAUCACCUGCUGCUUCUACAAUAAUUGAAAAGAAUAUUUACAAAAUAAUUCUGUCUUUUCAUUUUUGUCCACUUAUCUAUCUAAGUGUCUUUUCUUGGUCACUGAAAUGAUUUCUCUUUUUCUGUUUGCCUGCCUUAUCGGUUUUCUGGCUUAUCAUUUCUAUGAGUUGCUGCCUACUUCUCCUUUUUUUCAUGUGUUAUCUGAAUAUUUUGUUAUGGCAGGUUUUACUUCCCCUUUCACUAGACUGUUAUUUAAUACGUAUGAUGCUUUGGGGAGCUGAUGGGUGAGAUAUGAAUUCUGCUUCAGAGAACCAGAUUACAUUUCAUGAAGUGCUCUGCAGAUGACUUAUUGCUUCAUGGCAAGUCCUCAGCCUGCGGUUUCACAAGGAGGGGAGCUAAUGUGACAGCUUAGUGCUGCUGAAAGCAGAGGAUUUUUGUGCCUUUCUCUGAUCCCCAUUUUUGUCUUUUCUCACACAGAGCUCAACAGAGUUGACCACUCUUACAUGAGCUCUGGUUUUUAUUGGACACUCUCUAGUGUCAUUUUGCCUUACAGAACCAGCCAAAAGCUAUGCUUUUGCUGAAGAAAUGUGGCUACGAGUGACUUUUCUUCCAUCAGAGGUGAGCUGUUGGAUCAGUGGUGGUUGUGAUCAGGAAGCUGUGGUCUCUGCCACAUCACUCCUAGACCACAGGCUGACUGCAGAGACCGUGCAGCUCCUGGCUGGAUCACCCAAGAACCCCCUGCCAGAAAAUAGAAAACAACUGAUGGGCUUUCGUGUCACAGUGGGCUUAGCUGAAAUGUAAAACAGUGGAAGGUCGAAGAAGAGACGUUAUUAGCAGCCUUUCUAAACGCAAAUUGACCAUGCCUUUGAGGAAAGGAAAGAUAAUGUGAGAAAGAUUGCAUUUGGGGAUUAGUCAGUCACUUGUGAUUUAACACUUGAUUGUUUUUUUUUCUUCUCAACGAAGAGCUAUGUUGUGGCUGUGGAAAGCUUUCCUUUCUUGUGGUCUAGGAACAGAGCGUGCUGAAGUUAACCAAGAGGAACUUUGAGUAUCAGUCAUGGAGCCACAGCGCAUGAAUUUUAGAACCUCUGAGGAGUGUGAAGAUAUUUGCAGCCCAGGAGCACUGGCAGCUGCUCUUCAGAUACUGGAGACUCUUAAGGUGUAGAAAAAUUCAGCCACAGUGUGUCUCACUGCAGAAAAAUCUUCAUUUUGGUGCAUGAUUUUGUCUCUUUCAGCAUUUGGUGCUCUCUUUUUGAAUACCUCAUAAUUAUUACUUGUUUUCCUUUCGAAAAUUCCCUCUCCAAGCUGAUUUGGCUUAAAAUUGUUUCCUACCCUUUGAACUGACCUUUUGGGAACAUAAUGUGUUUGUGAUUUGGUCUGUGUCCUAUUUGGAUUUGCGUCUCAGUGGCUACUGAUUUUUACUGAGAAAUCAGUUCUUUCCUCUCACUCCACCAAGUGAGAUGUUGCCUGGGAUUCAUUAACUUGUUUGCAGCAAGUUUUUGAGCCAGGUGUUUCAAAGACCAUGCCUAAUUAGCUGGUGUGGUGCUAUACAGGUGUGUAGGUGGAAUGGAUGUGCUGGGUUUCUGUUCUUGGUGAGCAGUGUGGUGAGACAGUUGUUGUCUGGGCUGGGUGGGUCUGAGUAGCAGCGUAUGAAUCAGAGUCUAUGUGAAAUCAUUGGCUUGUUAAUAGCACCAAGAAGAGUACCAGGAAGCAGCAACAUUGUGCAGCAGGCAGGUUAAGACAGUUACCAGGCAUAAAGCAGUACUCUGAGGAGUUUUGGAAUGGGAUGCUAUGUGUGUACUUCUGGGGACAUCUGAGAUGAUGAAGUAUUGGAAGAGUGACAGAACAGACUGUGAAUGCAAUGGGUUCCCCAGAUUUUAUAUCCUGCAGGAAUAUAUCUUGCUUGGAUAUAUCUUGAAGGGAUUUUCUGUGUGUGAAAUGCAAGUAGGUUCUUUUCUCUGUGGCUGAGAACAUCUUUCCAGGUGGAGAACCUGUCUUUGGGAGUUCAGGCUGAAGAUUCCUUUUAUCCUGUGCUGUGACCAUUCCCUCUGCAAAUAUAUGAAAAUAUAUAUUCUAGGAAAGCACCCUACAUUGCAAAGCUUCCAGCCACGGAGCUUGCGUAAUUAUUCUGUGUUUUUAUAUAAGCCAUAUGAACAUAACAUUUGAGGGUCUCACAUUCUUGAAUGCAUUUGCCCAUACAAGAUCCUUAUAAAAGAGAUGUUAUUCCCAUCUUUGCCCAGGGUCACAUAUGACACCUGUGGUGGAGCAGGAAAAUGAAAAUCUUACAAGUUUCGUGCUAGCUCCCAGACUGCUCCACUGUCUUUUCUUCUAGGGUUGACCAUGACCAACCCCCAGUGCGGUAUGUUCACUGAUUUUUCUUUCCACAGUAGGAGGUAGAGGAAGCAAACUAUUCCGGGUCUGUAAAUCUAAAUCUCAACCCAGCUGAGGAGCUAGUCCUUUUGUAGGGUUCUGCUGCAGCAUUCAGUAUUUUAAUGCCUAGGAGUAACACUGACAUUCAUUUUCUUUUUAACUGGAGAGAACCAAUGAUUCUCAAGCAUGUAUUGAAAAUAUACAAAAGUGAUUUGUAAGUUAGUGGGGAAAUUCAUGGUGAGCUAUAAAAUAUUUUUUUAUAAUAUACUGCGCAUUCUAUUGAAAAAAUAUAUUGCAUAGGUUAUGUAAACGGCUUGGUGCCAUGAACAACAGAGCAAAGCAGACUUGUAAAUGGAUGUUAAUUUUUUCUGGGCAGUAUAAUAUUCAAAUAAAACUUCAAGGUUUGUUAUCUGCACAAUUGAUUCCACUCACUCUGAUUUGUCAUUUGAAAGGAAGGUCCUCUUUUAUUUUGUAUGGAAUUACAGCAAACAGAUGAAGACCUAGAAAGGUAAGAGGGGCUUUAUUGAAGUUGUUGUCUUCAGAGCUUGUCUGCAAGACUUUUUCCACAAGAGAUGGAAGUGUAUUAGGUUUUCUAAAGGAAAAACUGUGUGAUUGCUAAUGUUAAGAAAGGCUGUUUAAUCUGUGGAGCAUUGCUAGUCUGUGAGCACCAAUGGACUGAAAAGUACUCAUGGAAUUCCAUUAAAACUAGUAAGUAGUUGGUACUUAUCAUUCCACAUCUGAAAUAAGUGACUGCUUUAUUUAACUCAGCAUUGUUCUGAAAUAUUCAGUAUGAGAAGCACAAGAAUGACAUGUGAUUUUUAAGUAAGUUUUAUCUUAUUAGUGCAGAUCUUCACAGGAUUCGUAUGUGAAUGGAGAUGUCAUUUAAAACUUACUGUUCUUCCACAUCAACUUCAGGCACGUAUUGCCAGAUCUGAAAUCUAGAGCAGUGUUGACAAUAUUCUCUCACUCCAGAGAGAAUAGACCAUUCAAAUCCUUUUCCAUCACUCAGCAGAGCUGUGACAAGGCGAGGAGAAAACCAUCACAACAUUUCAGAGAGUCUGUCUUAGCCUUCUUCACAGGAUGCUACACAUCAACACGGAAAGAGAGGGGACAGUGUGGUGAGGUACCUCCAGCAUAUGCCUAGAAGAUUAUUUUCAAAGUUUUUUGUUUGUUCUUCUAGAAAUGAAUUCCCACUCUGACGAUGGAUAGUUUCAGUCUUAAAGGUAAAAGGCCACACUAUCAGAUUACUGGCUACCAGAUGCAGGCAGCCAAUUGCAUUGGCUACUCCAGCAGCCCGUGUUUUUAUGUCCAUGCCGAACUCGACCUUUCUAGCUCCACUGCUAUGGGCAGAUACUAAACUGCUAUUCUUAGAUUAAAUUAGAACAACAGACAUUAGAGAUGGUAAAAUACCUAACAGCCCAUUCCCCUCCAGCUGCCAAACAGACUUUAUUUUAAAAAAGUCCAGGCAAAUCCAUGGCAAUCUUUUACCAUGAAGUAUUAUAUCCUCUUUAUUGUCUGGGCAGAGAGCAGGAAAGCUAACUACUUCCUCACUUAAGGUUUUGCCAGUCUGUAAGCUUGGUACCCAAAGACUUUAUUUUGGUACCUGUUGCCUUUAGCUCUGUAGGUUUUGAGUGUCUAGGAAGUUGGACAGGGCAUCUUUACAGUGUCCAACUAAUUUGUUGUGUGAGUACCAAAGUUCUAAAAAGGGGUGAAGAGCAUUUGUUGAAUCAAGAGUCUAAGCACCCAGUCCCACAGGUUGCAUUGCUUAUAGCUCAAAGCCCAAGUGCUGUAAUUUGGUAGCAAUCUCUGCUGUAACUGUAGGACACCUUUGUCACUACAAUGGCUGCACGUACUUCACUUCAACUCCUUACCAAAAAUAUAACUGUUCUGAACAGGAUUAAACGGUGCCUUUUUUUCAGAUGAUCACUAUCUGUCCUAUCAGAAACACAACUGCACUCCUGCUUCUGAGGUCUUUCAGAACUAAUCUUAAUAUGUGAUUUUAUAAACCAGAUUUUUCGGCAUUCUAAGGCUUUUGGACAUGUGUGUGCUUUUUUGUGUGUGUGUGUGUUUUUUUUUCUUUCUCUCCCUCUUUUUAAAUAGAUCUGGAUCCUGUAGAACAACUAAAAUGCCUCAUUUAGGUUACUGAACCUGUAAUGGAAAAAAUAAAAAGACAACAACCCUGCAGACACUGUAGCGGUUUAAUUGGUAUUCAAUUACUUGUGCUUUUUCAGGCUUGUAAGAAAAAUAUCAAAGAAUGAACUAUAAAACCAGAUGUAUAUCUCCAGAGGUUUAAAUUGUCCAGUUUCCAGGGACAUGCUUUAAUUCUCCUCCCACUUAGUAAUUUUACAUUGGCGCAAGUGCUUUGGAUAAGAAAGGGCAACUGACCCCUCCAAAAUUAAUGUUCUUACAUUGAGCUGGAAACUAUGGGAUCUCACGGAAUCUAUAAUCUCAUUAACUGUAAUCAUAUAUAUCUCUGUGUAUUAAUUCUGGAUACUCUAAUUAAUGUCUUGGAGGUGAUCCAGGGAAAGGCUUUGGUAUAUGCAGUUUUGCACAUGCUUACAUGUCUAGCCAGCUUCAGAAAUUAUUAUAGGUAAGGAAUUAUUGACCGAGCUUUUCCACUCCUUUCCCCAUUUCUCCCCCUCUUCCACCCCCACAUCAUUACUUAGAUUUCAGUUAGUUCAGGUGCUCUCUGUUACAGAAAUGUCUGCCUGAAUUUUUAUUUCUAUUUUAUUAAAAAAUAUUUAAAAAACCCACCAAGCCCUGGGUUUGUAUUCUGAACGUCUCCAGACUUUUGUUCAGCUGGUCUUUGUGAGAAAAAGGGGUUCUGCUGCGGCCCAGUCCCCUGUCAAGAUGCAGCAGCAGCAGCACUGCCCCGAUGGGGGAAAGGAAUCUCAGCAUGGGUAACCCAGCCCAAUUAAGAUACCCAUUCUUAGAUCACAGUGAGCAGCCAAAGUUAGUGUGUUGAGUUGCUUAGCUUUGUGCUGUUGGUGCCCUUUCUGUUGAAGCAUUGCUUUGUACUCAGAGAUGUGGGGUUUAUAAGGACCAAAACGUACCAUGCACUUGUCUCCAAUGUGGCUGCUUCACCCAGGUAAAAGAGCCCACCAGUCUGUGGGUGACAAAGCAGCUGAUCUUGUUUGCUGAUGGCUGAUUCUUUGAGUUCUCCUAGGGAUUGCGGUUCCUCUUCUGAGAUUAUAUUUUGGCAGCGCAGUCAGUUCAGUGGUUGGGACCUCUAUUUAUAAUGUGCAGUUGAGCAAUAAGGUGGAGUAGGGAUCUAAAACCCAAAGGAAAUAGCCUGUUUGUAAAAACUGGAAGAGAGUUUGAAAUCCCAGGGUCUCAUCUUGUUCUGUUCCUUCAUGGGUUCACCUUCCUCAUUCUUAUUCAUUACUUAUGACAGAAUGAAGUUUAUGAAGAACUUUCAUUUUCCUGACUCCUGUCCCAGAAGCAGAAAUAGGACCUAUGCCAGCCUCAGUUCCUUGUCUAUUCUCCAUCGGCUGUCAACUGAAUAUUAACUAUAACUACAACUAAUAUGUAUGUUAUUACAUAUAUUUUGGAGAAACAGACACAAAGUAUGCUUUCUACUAAAAACAAUCACUUUAUUUAUUAUGGAAACCAGAAUCUUGCUUGUUAUCGUUGGUUUAAAAUAUGACUAAUUGUUUGGACAGCUCAGUACUUGAGUUAGGUGGUUGGCUAAAGAGUGUAAGUUGUUGAAGAGUGAAGUCGUUGAUUUUGAUGAUAAAAUAUACUCAAAUAUUAUUACAGUUGUGUGUUUGCCUGAAAAUUGAGAGGAAAGGGGAUUUUUUUUUGUCUUUUUUUGGCUGAAUCUUUAGUUUUCUUGGGCAAGGAAGCUGUCCUAUGUCAAUCUAAUUUGCAAAAAAAUUGUUCAGUGGCGACCCAUAACUGUUUAUUAGAGUAACUGUAAUGCUGAGAUUGAGGAGCUUUUGUUAGAAGUGGAGGAGAGCAAUUGGUUUCCUUAAAGAGUCUGACAUGCAUAAUGAAACUAAACUUAUCUUAAAUUCUACUUCCAGGAGAAGAAAUUGGAAAACUGCAAAAGAAAGGGUCACUUAUGUAGACAUCUCCAACUCCACUUCUAUUGCAGCUAAGAUUUUGGGAGAGAUUGUUCUGUCUACUUUAAGGAUAUAUUUUUCUCUUCUUAAUGUAGCUUUGAAAACCAUAUGGCAGAGAGCAGAGGGAUUUGUAUCCCUUUUUGAAUAUUUGGAAUAAGGCUAUUAUUUCUCAACCUGUUUUAAUUGUAGAAUUAUGCAGCCUUAUAAAAACCUAUGAAACUUUUUAUCAGUUGGAUAAAAGCAACAGUAAUAAGUAAGAAAAUCCUUGGCAUGUGGGCUAACCUUUUUUGCAAAUUCAUAGUUUAAUCUUGUAAUCAAACAAGUGCUGAUAGUGUCUCAGUGCCUGCCAGUAGGUGCUGCCUACCCACAGAAUCCCGUGCCUGGGUGACUGGCCCCCACUGUUUUCUCCAGCAGGCUGUGACACUUCUUUGUGAACUGCCUUUGGAACUGUGGGUGUAUUUGAAGCAAGGUGUGGUCAUUUUAAUAACCACUUUCUCCUGAUGGUGGACUUCAAGCUGAGUGGCAAAGGUGAGAGAGCAGGGCUGUGGCCCCCAAGCAGGUGCUUUCAUCUGUUUUACAAAAUUUCUGCCUUUGAGCUCUAGCUGGACAAAGCAGGGAUGCGUUAAGAUUGCUUCUUUAGGAAGGACUGGAAAGCAGAUACAGCAUUUCUCAAAUGAGGAUGGAGAGCAGCUACAGAGGAAGAGAACAGUCUGUUUUCCUUCAGUAAGCCCGGUGGGGUAAUGGGCUGGAGCCUAGAAAAAUGGGUAGAGAUUCUUUUUGUGGUUACAUCUUCAAAGAGAGAGAAGGUGUUGAGAAAUACAUAAGAUGCUGUUGCCCUUUGGCUGAGGCUAACCUGGUAGGGCUGGUUGCAAUAUGUGCACAAAGUGAUAACAAAUCAGCAGACAAGGAACUGCAUAUUGACAGGUUUUCACACCAAAGAUUUUCCAGAUGAUUAUAGUAAAAAUCCAAGAUAUUUCCAAGUAAUUGCAUCAGUACAGUUGGCAACACCUCCAGCAUAAACUCUAGGAAAUCAGAGUUUAUUCAGGGGUGAUGUGUCAAUUGCACCAUCUUCACCCGGCCUUUUCUUUCCCAGCCUUGGGCUGCCUCAGCUUGGAUGAGCUACUCUCCACGACUUUUCUGGUUGUACAAUGAAGUCUAGAUUGUUGCCUCUGAUGUGCCUUCAACCAAGAAGUAGAACAGGAGCUUUGAACAGGCAUUUCUACUCACUCUCUCAACAUACACGGUUGCGAGUCCUACGAAGAGAGCUCACUGCUGGCUGAGUGACUGAGUGAGGUAAAAAGGAGACAUUACAAUAACCUACUAUUUAGAAUGUGGCAGUCUGAGCGUACUCAUCAUUUCUUAAUCUGGCCCUGGGUCUGGUUAUAAUUUGCAUCUUGAGCAAUCUUACUGUGUUCUGCAUUUGUGUUUUCUUUUUGUAUUGUUAAACCUGUUUUCAUCUCACACAUCUUUCAUUCUUCUGCAGCCUGUAGCCAAUGACAGAUGAGAAGGUUGAAAUGCUGAAGGUCAUUUGGAUCAUCCAGUGCCCGUUGCUGCCAGCAUAGUAUUAUGGCUUGCAUGGUCUUUUUGCUAUUGUUUUGUCCAGUCAAUUGCUAAAUACACUCUGUUUAUUGGACAAAGUUUUGCCACCAAUAAUACCCCACAUAACCUUAAUUAUAACAGUGGAGUCAUCUGGGCUAUUGUUGAGAGGUGGGAGAUGGCCUCAUUUGGUCAGAAAAAUUAUCUGUUUUUUGAGUCAUUUUCCUCAGACCAGAUUCUGUUCAUUUUCUGUAGCACAAUUUGUUAGCUGGUCAAAUCCAACAUCUAAAUCAACAGCACUGUUCAAGUCCUGUUGAUCUCAAUCCUUUUAGUUUAGAAUAUUCUCUUAGCAGAAAACAGGUUGGAUAUCGACAUGCAUCAUCAUUAACUAAAAGGCUCUUUGUUUGUUCAAGGGCCUGUUUGCCUGUAUAUUUACAGUUGUUCUGGGCAAACGGGAUUGCACUUUGCUUUCCUGUGGUUUCAUAUUGUCACAGUUUACCUAGCAGAGAAGCUUGCCUUAAGGAACUCAAUAAGACAUUACUGAAAAUUGUUUGCCUGCAGAAGGAAAUUAGAGUUUCACUGGCAGCCACAGAGACAGAAAUCCACAGAAUAAAAGGCUGGGAGUUGUGCCAUAUUGCAAACAUCAUUAUGAAAAUGAUUUAGUGUACAUUUCAAUACUCUUAAAUUUUAUAAAACCCGUGAUACAAGUCUGAAGCAUACAUUACUCACACAAAUUUCAAAAUGAUGUUCCAAGGCUAGACUUUCAAGAAUACUCUCGUAUAUUCAAGGAUAUGAGACAAGAAGAAAUAUAUUCUAAUUAUUUUAAAGAAAGUUUCUUCAGUGCCCGAAGGUCUGCACACUAACCUACUGAAAUCAGUGAAGUAGUUCCCUGCGAGAAAUAUGCAGCUGUGCAUAUUACAACAUUGCAGAAAUAGACUCCUUGCAGGCAAAAGCUGUAGCAUUCUACUGUUAGCUGCAUAAAAUCACAUGAAUAUUCUUUGGGAUAGUUGUCUUUUGGAUGUGUGUCUCUCAGCUGAUUUCACAUAAAUAUUACUCUUACACACUUAAUAAGGAAGCCUAGAGAGGAGUGAACUUUUUUGGCAGGAUUCAAGAGAUGUUGCAUCCAAUAUAAAAGAAAGGCACAGCUGCACUCCGCUUCCUCAAGGGACAGCAGGGCCUUCUUUCACAAGGUAGUGUGAAGGGGAUAGAUAACACAAGCUUGUCCAUCAGGGGUGGGAAAAUGCUGACAAAGAGCUGGCCAUGAAACUCUCUUACAUGAAGCUUUUACAGAACUCAUCUAUAACUUCACAUUACUUUGAAUAUUAUGGGCAGCUAUGGGACUGCUGUGCUAGUACCAGAUGAUAUAUCUUCAUUUCUAGGCACAAUUAAAGACCCUUGCUGUAUACCCAAACCUCUAUCUGUUGUCACGCCUAUGCCACUUCAGCCUCAGUGUGGCCAAUCUUUGCCAAGCCCGACUUGCCCCCAGGCCCUGGUGGUGAUUAUCAAAGGUAGCAUGUCUUCCCUUCUCACACAUCUAGGAUGGUCUUCAUGCUUGUCCUGGCUGGAUCCUGCUUUUGAAAGAAGCCACAAUUCAGGCUUCUUGGGAUAUAUUAGUAGACAGAAGGCUGACCUGGGAAGUGGGGUAGUUUAACAAACUCCCACUCAUUAGCUGAUGUGGAACAAAAAUCUGAAUGCCACACCCUUCUAUACUCCAGGCAUGCUGCUUAACUGCUUCACCUGACGUUUGAUGAUGAACCUUGUGUUUCCCUGGCUGAGGCUAUUUUACUUUGCACACUUUCUGAGGGAGAGGACUUCUGUGGAUGCCAGGGUGUGAUCAGUGGGAAUUGGGCACAGACUGGGUAGCAGGGAGGCUUGGGGCAGGUUGUUGUGGGGAGUGAUAUUAAGUGCAAUGGAAGUAACAAAGGGUUAACUGGCUUGAACAUCUAUUGAGGAGCAGAUUCAGAACUGAGCACAGAGGUUUCUGUUGCCUCUGACUGUGGCCCUUCUCUUCUCUUCUGUGGUUUCUCCAGGGCAGUGUGAAUAACUUCAUGCUCAGUGUGCUGGUUUCUAGGAAUCCUAUUCUAAGGCACCUAAUUCUCUCUGAGAAUUGUAUCUUGACUGUCUGAUUCCUGGCUGAGGAGUCUGCUAGGCAACAGGAAAUGUACAAAUUAAAACAUUGCAACAUUGAAAGCCCUGGCUGUACCCCAGCUUUGCUGGAGGACCAGUUUUCAUCUGUUUGCCUAUGAAAAAUAUACUCAGAUGUAUAUCCUUUCUCUUGCAUCAUUUAAAUGAUUCCUCAUGCUUCCCACGGGCUAUUACUUUUAUUACACAUGUGCAGUCAUUUUGCUGCUCAUUUAGUUCAUUGUAACUCAGCCAGUAGCGCUCUUGUUUCUUGAUCCCCCAAAAUGUGUGGUUUAAGAUCCCACAUUAGCAAACGUUGGUUAAAGUUAAGUGGACUUAGACUUCCAGCUUCUGAUAAGUUGCAGUAGGAGCUGGAGCAGCUCCCAUUGUAGAGAUGGACUCUACAUCCUGACUGACUGGGCUGGACAGCUUCUCUUCUUCUUCAGCUCUUAUGUCUUUCCUAACAAAGAGGAUAGAAGAGGCUG